CCCCACCAGUGGUAAUUUGAAAUCUGUGCAAGGAACUAGUAGGGGUGGCCGAGGUUGGAAGGUAUUUGGUUGUCCGGCCUGAUUUAGGAAGAGUUUAGAGAGAGAGGGUAAAAAGGAAGACCACAGAUGGAGGAAGGCUAGAUCAUGACCAAAAGAGGAAAUAAAAAAAUAGAGCAUCGUGCCAGGGACCAGACAGAAAAGUGAAGGUGGCUCUAAGAUCAAGAAUUUGUGGAAGGGAUGAAGUUACUUCCUGGUCCUUUGGUCACAGCAGGGAAAACGUUGACUAAAACAUCAGCUAAGUCAUCACGUCCUUAAGAUCAGGAACAGUUUUGAUUGUGUCAAUUACAUCAGAUUCUUACUGUAAGCAAAUUGAUAGAGACUGGAGAAGAGGAUCAAUAAGGCCCAGCUGGAUUGUAUGAAGGGAAUAAGCUGCUUUGCUUGAUCUUAUCAGCCCACAGCCGAUGAAGGAAGAAUUUCUAAUGGCACCUACGUCACUGGUUGUUAGAGAAAUAGAAUUGUUGGUCUGGAAGAGAGAUGUGAUGGCUGGAGCGCUAACUGCUAUCUUGGACUUGAUCCAAUACCACAGAAAUGGAGUGUUGAAGGGCUACAAGAAAUCUGAAUGAAUCAUGGGGCUGCCCUGCUUCAGGACUUACCUUAAGUGAGAGAAUAAAUCCCUAUAUGUUUAAAUCAUGA